CUCGUCGGUGUUGAAGCGAAUCGUCUGCUGCUGUGGCCAAGCCUCAUGAGUUCUGUCCGACGACGUGGCCAAGCUUCGGAGGAGUCGUCUGAAGCCACUGUCUGUUGAUGAUAGCCUUCCUCCCAUGGCGUACCAUGUUGUCAAAGAUGAGGAGUACCGCGGAGAGGUUAGAGUCGCCCUCACAGAGGAGACGAGGUUGAAGAGGAGAGCCUUGGAGGAUGGAAACAAUCAUGUGUGGAGUGAGAAAGAUGUCGGCAUUACUUAUCAGUUUGAGAUAGUCAUUUCAUUGCAACUACUUGCUGUUUCGAUUUUUUUGAGGAACAUACAUUUGGUGGAUAUCAGCA